rnacentral:rRNA from 1 species
ACUCAAAUGAAUUGACGGGGGCCCGCACAAGCAGUGGAGUAUGUGGAUUAAUUCGACGCAACGCGAAGAACCUUACCAAGGUUUGACAUCCCAAGAACCCGGUGGAAACACUGGGGUGCCUUUCGGGGAACUUGGAGACAGGUGGUGCAUGGUUGUCGUCAGCUCGUGUCGUGAGAUGUUGGGUUAAGUCCCGCAACGAGCGCAACCCUUACGGUUAGUUGCUACGCAAGAGCACUCUAGCCGGACUGCCGUUGACAAAACGGAGGAAGGUGGGGACGACGUCAAAUCAUCAUGCCCCUUAUAUCUUGGGCUUCACACGUACUACAAUGGCGGUUAACAACGCGCUGCAACCACGCGAGUGGAAGCGAAUCGCUGAAAAGCCGCCUCAGUUCGGAUCGCAGGCUGCAACUCGCCUGCGUGAAGUCGGAAUUGCUAGUAAUCGCGGAUCAGCAUGCCGCGGUGAAUACGUUCCCGGGCCUUGUACACACCGCCCGU